UCCGUAGGUGGAUAAUUAAGUCAGAGGUGAAAUCCUGCAGCUCAACUGUAGAAUUGCCUUUGAUACUGGUUAUCUUGAGUCAUUAUGAAGUGGUUAGAAUGUGUAGUGUAGCGGUGAAAUGCAUAGAUAUUACACAGAAUACCGAUUGCGAAGGCAGAUCACUAAUAAUGUACUGACACUGAGGGACGAAAGCGUGGGGAGCGAACAGGAUUAGAUACCCUGGAAGUCC
rnacentral:rRNA from 1 species